rnacentral:rRNA from 1 species
CUAGCCAUAAACGAUGGUCACUAGGUGUGGGUGGUGGUCAAGCCAUCCGUGCCGGAGCUAACGCAAUAAGUGACCCACCUGGGGAGUACGGCCGCAAGGCUGAAACUCAAAGGAAUUGAC